rnacentral:lncRNA from 1 species
AAAAGGAGGGGGAUAGAGAGAGAGAGAGAGCGCUCGAGCACGAGAGAGAGAGAGAGAGAGAGAGAGAGAGAGAAGGCAAGAGACUCUGCCCACCAGACUGGCGACUGUGAGGGUGGAGUCGAGGAGGGAGGUUUCCACACACUGAUCAUCGCUGUUGAUCCACGGCUGAACACUAACAUCAAUAAGCGCACAGCAUAACAGACUGUUUUUCAUUGCUGGUGAUUCCAGUCUGAUUGAAUUCUCUCUGCGUUAAUCUGGUAGAGGCGGCUAUGUCUAAGCAAUAAAUUGAUUGUAAUGAAAAGCA